CCACCUUGCUUGGUAUCUAUCAGAUUCACCUAUGUUGUCUGAGAUGCCAUACAAGGUAAAA
rnacentral:pre_miRNA from 1 species